AGCAGCACAUUCGGCAAGUGGAAACAAAGCAGUGGCAUGGACAGUGGCCAAGAACAAGUUUGUAAUUUCUUUGUACAGCGUGACUCACGUGGACAAAAGAAUAACAUCCAAAAACCGUUUACACACACGUUGGGUUCUAAGCAGGUGCUAGGUCAAAUGACCACUAACCGUUUUAGGGGCACAACCUGCGUGUGAUCAUGGAAGGGUACAGCUGACGCUAGUGAAAGCGAGCUAGUGAAAGCGAAUGGUGUUUAUUAGUGCACCGUUGUCAAAGUGGAAGAACCUCAAAUAUCUGUGUAUCAAAUACUCUCAUCGCACUUGAGAGCAUUGACUUGUACUUCCAUUUAUUUUAGUUAUGACUUUUAAAACAAUUGCCACCAAUUACUAUCGUCAAAUGUGAGACAAAGUGAUGUAGGUGUGA